rnacentral:lncRNA from 1 species
CCGGUCAAUCCAAGAAUGAAGAAGGACAUCAAUAGCUUCUUGGUAAGGGGUGGUCUACUUCGUCUACAACCAGUAUGGUAAAAAUGUACAAUUAGGAUACUCACGUAUCAGAAAUAAAGAAAAUACUAACUCACAAGAGAGCACAAAAAAUGUUUCAGGUUAAAUUUCCACUUCUAAAGUUUGACUGUGUAUCCAGUUAAAUGCACAAAAACAGGUCAUCAUAAGACGGGUCCCUGGAACCAUUAUCAGUAGACAAGUAGAACACUUUUACAAUUACUGGAUGAUGAUUAUGAACAAGUCUAAGCCAAUUGGCACACUUAAAUACAAAGAUUAACUGUCAUUUCAGUGUAAAGAAUUUUUACAACGUUAACAAAUCAGAAAAUUUCGAACACUGUUUCUCCAAAUACUUUCUAUAAGAAAAUCAAUUUAUUUUGACAUUGUGGAGAAAAGUUUUACACGCUCUCAUAGCAUGCCAAUUAGAUUCUUUAUCUUCCAAUACAACAUAAUCAGUAACAGUUGAAGGAAAAGGGGAAAAAGAGCAUGCCUUUCAAGAAAAAAAGCGAGAGGAGCAAGAAUAGUGAAGGCAAGGAGAUCCCUGUAGAAGCAGAAAACUAGUUGGUUGACCCCAACAUUAAGGGCCACUUUUGUGAUUACAUGGUAGCCACCAUAGAAUGCCUGCGAC